rnacentral:rRNA from 1 species
GAUGAACGCUGACAGAAUGCUUAACACAUGCAAGUCGAUUCGAUUUACCUUCGGGUAUUGAGGAUGGCGGACGGGUGAGUAACGCGUAAGGAACUUGCCUCUUGGUCUGGGACAACUGUUGGAAACGACAGCUAAUACCGGAUAUUAUGAGAUUCUCGCAUGGGAAACUUAUGAAAGCUAUAUGCGCCAAGAGAGAGCCUUGCGUUCCAUUAGCUAGUUGGUGGGGUAACGGCCCACCAAGGCGACGAUGGAUAGCCGGCCUGAGAGGGUGAACGGCCACAAGGGGACUGAGACACGGCCCUUACUCCUACGGGAGGCAGCAGUGGGGAAUAUUGGACAAUGGGCCACAAGCCUGAUCCAGCAAUUCUGUGUGCACGAUGAAGGUCUUCGGAUUGUAAAGUGCUUUCAGUUGGGAAGAAGAAAGUGACGGUACCAACAGAAGAAGCGACGGCUAAAUACGUGCCAGCAGCCGCGGUAAUACGUAUGUCGCAAGCGUUAUCCGGAUUUAUUGGGCGUAAAGCGCGUCUAGGCGGAAAAAUAAGUCUGAUGUUAAAAUGCGGGGCUCAACUCCGUAUUGCGUUGGAAACUGUUUUUCUAGAGUACUGGAGAGGUGGGCGGAACUACAAGUGUAGAGGUGAAAUUCGUAGAUAUUUGUAGGAAUGCCGAUGGAGAANUCAGCUCACUGGACAGA